rnacentral:rRNA from 1 species
UACAGAGGGUGCGAGCGUUACUCGGAAUUACUGGGCGUAAAGCGUGCGUAGACGGUCGCGUAAGUCAGAUGUGAAAGCCCCGGGCUCAACCUGGGAACUGCAUUUGAGACUGCUCUGCUCGGGUGCGGAAGAGGGAAGCGGAAUUUCCGGUGUAGCGGUGAAAUGCGUAGAUAUCGGAAGGAACACCAGUGGCGAAAGCGGCUGCCUGGUCCGACACCGACGUUCAGGCACGAAAGCGUGGGGAGCAAACAGG